rnacentral:siRNA from 1 species
UAGGACAAUUCGGCCUGAGAUGUC